GAUCCAGACUUUGAUUAUGGCUCAGGACGAACGCUGGCGGCGUGCCUAACACAUGCAAGUCGAACGAGGGUUUGGAAAGCUUGCUUUCCGAAACCUAGUGGCGGACGGGUGAGUAACGCGUGAGUAACCUGCCUUUCAGAGGGGAAUAACGUUCUGAAAAGAACGCUAAUACCGCAUAACGUACAGUUACCGCAUGGUAGCAGUACCAAAGGAGCAAUCCGCUGAAAGAUGGACUCGCGUCCGAUUAGCUAGUUGGUGGGGUAAAGGCCUACCAAGGCGACGAUCGGUAGCCGGACUGAGAGGUUGAACGGCCACAUUGGGACUGAGACACGGCCCAGACUCCUACGGGAGGCAGCAGUGGGGGAUAUUGCACAAUGGGGGAAACCCUGAUGCAGCAACGCCGCGUGUGGGAAGAAGGUUUUCGGAUUGUAAACCACUGUUCUUGGUGAAGAUAAUGACGGUAACCAAGGAGAAAGCUCCGGCUAACUACGUGCCAGCAGCCGCGGUAAUACGUAGGGAGCAAGCGUUGUCCGGAUUUACUGGGUGUAAAGGGUGCGUAGGCGGCUAGGCAAGUCAGACGUGAAAACCAUGGGCUCAACCUGUGGACUGCGUUUGAAACUGUUUAGCUUGAGUGAAGUAGAGGUAGGCGGAAUUCCCGGUGUAGCGGUGAAAUGCGUAGAGAUCGGGAGGAACACCAGUGGCGAAGGCGGCCUACUGGGCUUUAACUGACGCUGAGGCACGAAAGCAUGGGUAGCAAACAGGAUUAGAUACCCUGGUAGUCCAUGCCGUAAACGAUGAUUACUAGGUGUGGGGGGUCUGACCCCCUCCGUGCCGGAGUUAACACAAUAAGUAAUCCACCAGGGGUGUACGGCCGCAAGGUUGCAACUCAAAGGAAUUGACGG
rnacentral:rRNA from 1 species